ensembl:snoRNA SNORD18 Small nucleolar RNA SNORD18
CAGCAGUGAUGAAAUUCUACUCCAUUGGUCCGUGUUUCUGAAUCAGAUGAUUUUCCUGGACGUUCUGAUGCU